rnacentral:sRNA from 1 species
GAAAGACGAAAGGAGAAUUCGAGAGGAGCAAGAGAGGGCAAAGAAGGCGGGAUCUUUCACAUCACGUGAUUUGGUUCAACAUAGUAUACUUGAAGGGGAGCAAGAAGGAGCCAGGUACUAUAGAGAACUGUCCCGGCACAGCGCACUGCUUAACUCUGUCCAAGAGAGAGCUGCAUAAAUUAUGAGAUUGGGCCUAAAGGAGCAGGAAACUCCAUAUAUGUGCAGUGCCAUCAUGGCCCAGUUCCUACAGGUUCAGCGGGUCUGCAGGAAGAAGCUGCGGCUGGUUGGGAUCACAGCUCUGCUUUUGGCUUCCAAAUGCCGUUUUCUCUGAGUAUUGAAGAGUUUGUUUACAUGACAGACAAUGCUUACACUGGUUCCCAAAUCGGAGAAAUGGAGGCUCUGAUUUCGAAAGAGUUGAAUUUGGAAUUGGGCUGGCCUUGGCCACUCUACUUCUUAAGGCUUCAGCUUCCUGCCUGUUUCGGAUGGUGCUGGGCCAAGGGAAAUGGAAUUUAAAGCAGCAGUAUUACACAGGAUACAUGGAGAGUGAAAGACUGGAAGUCAUGCAGCACAUGGUCAAGAACAUUGUGAGAGUCAAUGAAAGCCUCACCGACUUCCUCAGUCAAGUGUGUCAGCAGCAGACUCCUGAAGAUGAGGACCCCUCACUUGAACUCCAAAACCAUCAAAGACCUGGCUUCCCCUCUGAUGGGCAGGCCCUGGGCAGUGGGGCUUCUAUCCUGCAUCUCUUAGAUUUUGGACAUACUUAAUCUAGUUUACAUCACAAAACCUCUUCUCGGAUUAAUCCUCUGUGUAUUUGGGGAAAAAAUAAAGUUAUUGAUUUUCUUGGGUUAAAAAAAAAGUGAAAAAUAGGGGUUGGGGAUUUAGCUCAGUGGUAGAGCACUUGCCUAGGAAGUGCAAGGCCCUGAAAAAAAAAAGUGCAAAAUAAUUAAACCCACUUUAAGUCAUUUGUUCUGAAUUCAUGAUCCAUGACAAGAGCCCAAUUAAACCUUUUUAUAGGUCCAUUAGAUGCAAUUAUUUUAAAAAUGCAUAAAAAUUAAGACUGUUCACAUACUAGGAAGACAUUCAAUCCAAUGUUUAAAUUAAAAGCCGGAAAAGUUACUAACUGACUUUACUAUAGGUUAACCACAUGCAACUAUUUAAGUAAAGCUUAUUAAAUAAUUUCACUAAAACAUUUAUUUUCAGUAAUAAAAUAAAGAGCACACUGAAUUAUUCAGACCUACUCAUGAGUGUGGCGCCGACAAACCCUCCUGUAGACGGAGCAAUCUCUGAAGCAUUCCACACAUUAUUUUACACCAGGCUCUUCACAUUAGUUGUGUUAACAGAAUCCUACUGCAUCAGGCUUUGACACUGUAGGCUACAAUUCUACCUACAUUUAGAUGGUUUUGACUGUGUCCAUUGACAUUCUGGCCAACUGAAGACUUACAGGUUUCUUCUAAUCAAGGUUCUUGAUGUGCUGUGUUCUUUUAUGUGUGUGAUGUGCAUGGCCGUGAGGAUGAGUGUUCAUGUGUGGGUACGCAUUGUACUUGCACAUAGAGGCCGGAGGGUGAUGGAUGACAAGAGUCUAGUAGGAAAAUCCAGUCUAUUGCCUUUUGUGUGUUUCUAUGGCAGGGACUAUACAAACUGAGCCAUCUUCUCAUCCCCAUAGUGGUUUCUCAGAGCUGAACUGAAACAGGUAGGGAUAAUCCCACAUGCUUUACCUUGAUACAAGUUAAAUUCAUUAUGCCCUCACGUUUGCUAGAAAGAUCUGGAGCUUUCCUUUAGUCUAUAUUUAGAGAUAAUUACCAUUGUGUCUCCAUGUUUUAUUUUAAAGGAACUAGAACGUGCUAAGGCUUAUUCGCAUAGCUUACAACUAUGGUGGGUUUUUUUUUUUUUUGAGUUUAUGAAAUUAAAACUUAGUCAAAGGGGAGAAGGUCUUUCAAUGUACCUUACACACAGUGCACCCCUUCAUGGUGUCUAAGAGAACCGUGAGUACUGUAGGAUCUUCCACAUUGUUUACAUACAUAUGAUUUCUCUCCAGUGUGAAUUCUUUUUUUAAGAAUUCUUUAUUUAUUUAUUUAUU